rnacentral:rRNA from 1 species
GAUGAACGCUAGCUACAGGCUUAACACAUGCAAGUCGAGGGGAAACGAUAGAGAAAGCUUGCUUUUUCUAGGCGUCGACCGGCGCACGGGUGAGUAACGCGUAUCCAACCUGCCCAUCACUUGGGGAUAACCUUGCGAAAGUAAGACUAAUACCCAAUGACGUCUCUAGAAGACAUCUGAAGGAGAUUAAAGAUUUAUCGGUGAUGGAUGGGGAUGCGUCUGAUUAGCUUGUUGGCGGGGUAACGGGCCCACCAAGGCGACGAUCAGUAGGGGUUCUGAGAGGAAGGUCCCCCACAUUGGAACUGAGACACGGUCCAGACUCCUACGGGAGGCAGCAGUGGGGAAUCUUCCGCAAUGGGCGAAAGCCUGACGGAGCAACGCCGCGUGAGUGAUGACGGCCU